CCUACGGGAGGCAGCAGUGAGGAAUAUUGGUCAAUGGACGAGAGUCUGAACCAGCCAAGUAGCGUGAAGGAUGACUGCCCUAUGGGUUGUAAACUUCUUUUAUAUGGGAAUAAAAUGUUCCACGUGUGGGAUUUUGUAUGUACCAUAUGAAUAAGGAUCGGCUAACUCCGUGCCAGCAGCCGCGGUAAUACGGAGGAUCCGAGCGUUAUCCGGAUUUAUUGGGUUUAAAGUGAGCGUAGGUGGAUUGUUAAGUCAGUUGUGAAAGUUUGCGGCUCAACCGUAAAAUUGCAGUUGAAACUGGCAGUCUUGAGUACAGUAGAGGUGGGCGGAAUGCGUGGUGGAGCGGUGAAAUGCUUAGAUAUCACGAAGAACUCCGAUUGCGAAGGCAGUUCACUGGACUGCAACUGACACUGAGGCUCGAAAGUGUGGGUAUCAAACAGGAUUAGAUAACCCGGUAGUC
rnacentral:rRNA from 1 species